AUGUUAGCGGCGGACGGGUGAGUAACACGUGGGUGAUCUGCCUUGCACUUCGGGAUAAGCCUGGGAAACUGGGUCUAAUACCGGAUAGGACCAUGCUUUAGUGUGUGUGGUGGAAAGUUUUUUCGGUGCAAGAUGAGCCCGCGGCCUAUCAGCUUGUUGGUGGGGUAAUGGCCUACCAAGGCGACGACGGGUAGCCGGCCUGAGAGGGUGUACGGCCACAUUGGGACUGAGACACGGCCCAG
rnacentral:rRNA from 1 species